rnacentral:rRNA from 1 species
CCAUGGGGCACGAGCAACCCCGUGGGAAUCUGGGAGGACCAUCUUCCAAGGCUAAGUACGUUCAGGUGACCGAUAGUGAACUAGUACCGUGAGGGAAAGGUGAAAAGUACCCCGAGAGGGGAGUGAAAAGUCCCUGAAACCGUGUGUCUACGAACGGUAGGAGCCGCAAGGCGACUGCGUACCUUUUGCAUAAUGAGUCAGCGAGUUAUCCGUUGCAGCAAGGUUAAGCCGACAGGUGUAGCCGUAGGGAAACCGAGUCUUAAAUGGGCGUUUAGUUGCAGCGGAUAGACCCGAAGCCAGGUGAUCUAUCCAUGGUCAGGCUGAAGCGGGAGUAAAGCCCCGUGGAGGGCCGAACCCACUGAAGUUGAAAAUUCAGGGGAUGAACUGUGGAUGGGGGGUGAAAGGCCAAUCAAACCUGGCAAUAGCUGGUUCUCCUCGAAAUGUAUUGACGUACAGCCUCGGAAAUUGCGCCGGUGGAGGUAAAGCACUGAAUGGGCUAGGGGUCUACCCAGGCUACCAAACCCAAUCAAACUCUGAAUACCAUCGAGCGACA